UGGCCCGACUAUAAUCUCUCUCCUUUGAAACCCUAGACGGCGAUUUGGGAGGCGAUGAAAACGCGAUAUUGACUGUAAGAGCAGUAGCCCGAGAUCUGCCUCUGCAAGGCAAGAGGCAAAUUCAAAGGAAGCUGAUAAAGUCUCAGACCAACUCAAGUCCACUUCAAUCUCUGAGGGCAAAGCCCCUUCUGCUGCUUUACUGAACUAGAGUUUGAUAUCUCUUGUUGAGUUGGUAGCUUUUCUUCUCAUUAGAUUCACAGCACCAAAAAGAGGUAAGCUUCUUAUGCACACCCACCUUUUCUGGUUCAGUCUUUAUCAUUAUGUCAUUUCCCAUACUUUUAAAUAUACAUGCAUAAGUUCAGAAGAAUAUCUGUAUCUUUUACUCUUAUUGAAUUUAUGAUUUCUAGAAUAAGAAAACACAAUUAUUAGUGAAAUUUUGUGAGUAAGAGUGCUUCCCUUCUCCUCUCACGUAUGUGUAUAUAUAUACAAUUGCUAUUACAAUGAAAUGACCAUAUUUCCCUUUAGUAAAAUACCUAAUAUUGUAAUAUUUAUCACCAAUUUCUCCUUUCUCUUCUUGUUUUUUAUUUUUUAUAUUUUGAUUCAGUAUUCUUUAUUAAAUGUGUGAACUUCUCGUAGGGCUUUCCAGCACUUAUGCCAUAUUAACUAUAUGUAUGUUUCCUAGGAACUAAGUAAAACCUAAAAUCUUAAGCUCUUUCUAGCAAAUGUAUAAAAGGUGUCUUGUUCCUUAGAAACAUCCAAUUGAUUCCCAUGCAAUGAAGGAAAAGAGUUUGAACAGACUUGUACUCCUUAACCUUUACAUACAAAUUUUAACAUGUACAAAUGAUUAUAUUGUGGGUAAUAGUGUCUGUGGUAGAAUAACAGACUUGUUUUUGACUUGGACAAAGUUACUUUUCUU